rnacentral:lncRNA from 1 species
UUUUAAUGUUGCGUGUGGUUCAGUUGACCAAGGUGUAUGGUGGGAGCGCAUCUCUGGAGCGUAUGAUCUGCCAACUCAAUUAAUGAGCUCAUAUCUAACCCUCCUUAUUUUUUUGCAUUUUUUAUUUUCUGAUUUUAUUUUCUUUAAUUCCUUUUUAUUUCAAAAAUUAAUAUCUCUUUCAUUUUUAAUCCAAAAAUUAUGGGACCAAUUGCAUUAGUCUCC